rnacentral:tRNA from 1 species
CAGGCUAUCCUUAGGGGAUGUAUUAUUUACAAUAAUAUAUAGUUUGUGCAAUUCAAUCUAGUCUGA